UACGUAGGGGGCAAGCGUUGUCCGGAAUCAUUGGGCGUAAAGAGCGUGUAGGCGGUUCGGUAAGUCGGCUGUGAAAGUCCAGGGCUCAACCCCGGGAUGCCGGUCGAUACUGCCGGACUAGAGUUCGGAAGAGGCGAGUGGAAUUCCCGGUGUAGCGGUGAAAUGCGCAGAUAUCGGGAGGAACACCUAUGGCGAAGGCAGCUCGCUGGGACGUUACUGACGCUGAGACGCGAAAGCGUGGGGAGCAAACAGG
rnacentral:rRNA from 1 species